AUUGAACGCUGGCGGCAGGCCUAACACAUGCAAGUCGAGCGGAGCGGCGGACGCGUAAGUAAUGCCUAGGAAUCGGCCUGGUAGUGGGGGAUAACGUCCGGAAACGGGCGCUAAUACCGAAUACUAGCAGUAGAGCCUAGGUCGGAUUAGCUAGUGGGAGGGGUAAAGGCCUACCAAGGCGACGAUGCGUAACUGGUCUGAGAGGAUGAUCAGUCACACUGGAACUGAGACACGGUCCAGACUCCUACGGGAGGCAGCAGUGGGGAAUAUUGGACAAUGGGCGCAAGCCUGAUCCAGCCAUGCCGCGUGUGUGAAGAAGGUCUUCGGAUUGUAAAGCACUUUAAGUUGGGAGGCGUUACCAACAGAAUAAGCACCGGCUAACUUCGUGCCAGCAGCCGCGGUAAUUC
rnacentral:rRNA from 1 species